GGGCUUGGGGGUUAGAAGGGGACAAGGAGAUGCAGACUUUCAAAAAGCAGAAGGAAAGAUGAGUCAUGCAGAUAAUUUAAAACCUGCGAGAAAGAAGUUACUCUAAGUACUUAUGAGCAAAGGUUGUUAGUUUCAAUCCUUCUAUAGAAGCUAGGACAAAAAGGUAAAAGAAAGGGCCUCUCUAUUCAACAUGGGAUAGGUGGACCAGCAACAACUGCAUCACCAGGCAGCUUAUCAGAAAGGCCGAAUGUCAAGCCUCACCCCAGACCUACUGAAUCAGAAUCUGCAUUUUUAGCAAGAACCCCAGAUGGCAUGUAGUGUAGGCAAGUUAAAGUUGGAGAAACACUGAGAAUGAAAAGACUGCUGGAGCUGGCGUUGCUACCGAAAGUUUCACGGACAAGUUGGGUCUUGGACAAACCUUGAAUAUGGAUGUGCAGUGGACUCAGAAGUGCUGGGAUGGAAGAACUGGAGGGAGCCUCCAAGGCCCAUUUCAAAUGCUUCACACAUAGGAACUCAGGAGGACACAUCCACCCUGCCUGCCCUCUCCCCAGCAGAUCUCCCUGGGCUGUCUGAACCCAGGACAUGGCUCUGGUUAUCAGGCAUGAAGAAACAAUGAAGAGAGAAGGAGCGGGAUAUGGAGCCUCCAGGCCUGCCCAGUCAUAUGGAUCACCUGGGACUUGUUAAAACACAGAGUCCCAGUCUCCUCCCCUGAAAAUUCAGAUUCAGAGAGGUUUGGGGUGCAGCCUGUCCCUCUGGAUUUUUCUUGAGUACCCCAGGAGUCUCAUACCUUCAGGCAACAUUGCUUUAGGUCUUCAGUUCCUUGGACGAGACUGGUCACUGAACCUCCCAGGAGUCUCCAAGCCUGUUUUGAUGCCUGUCAGACUUCUCUCCAUGUGACUUCCACCGCAUCUUCAUGCUCCAAAGAUUGAAGAGACACGGCACAAGCCCAGGAAGACAAUGAGUGAGUGGAGGCGACUUUGAGAGAGGGCCUCUUAGCUCUAUAGAACCUACAAAACCAACCCACGCAAAGAAACUGGCCUGAGCUGCUAAGGUCAAGGCUUCAGACUACCAUUCCCUUCUGGCUGCACUCCAGAAGUGGGCCCAGGACUUCUGCAGGAGUUCCAAGGAAUAACCUCGGCUCACCACACCUUUCUUUCCCUUCCUGUUGGGGAAAACACUGCCCAGUAGUUGCCUUCGAGUGCUCCAUGACACUCUAGAUAACAGCAGCUACAGAAAAACAGGAACGAGAGGAAGAGGACGUGGAAGAUACCCUUCUGUGCUCCAGAAGCUCUGGAAGCUAGUUUGUUUGCUGUGAGAUUCACGGAGGCUUUAAAACAUUGAUCAGUGUGGGACUCCCCAAGGAGACCUGAUAGACGGGGCUUUCCAAACUUAUUUAACCACUUUUUCAAGAUGGUCUUGUGUAAAAUACUUCAGAACAGCCUUCACUAUGUCUAUGUUUUCUUAAAGAAGAUCCAUGGAAGACAUUUCUCUCCUUGAAUCCCGUGCCAAGAAUGGCCGUGUGUCUUCCAGGGAACUACCUUGCCUGAUUUUGUGAGUCCUGAGAGUCUGAAAAUAGAUGUGUUUUGCCCUUUUCAUUGGCUGCUCGACUGGGAGCCGGUUUGUUGGAGGGCUUCCAGCAAGUGUACUGAACGGUGGAGCACAUGCUCUGUGGCCUGACUCACUGCUGUCUGCUUGUUUUCCUCCAUUUUCUCAUCAAUUUAUUUGAAAUGUUUUUCUUGGCGCAUCUCUAUUUGGCCUUCCCAACUUCAGAGCUCACCGGGGAGUCAGCUGACAACUCUGUUGAGGCUGCACGGCAGCCCGGCUCCUCCCUCUUUCCCUUCCCUCCCACCAGAGUGAUCCCUAAGCACUCCUAAUAAACACCCUGCAG
rnacentral:lncRNA from 1 species